UACGUAGGGUGCAAGCGUUGUCCGGAUUUAUUGGGCGUAAAGAGCUCGUAGGCGGUCUGUCGCGUCGGAUGUGAAAACCCAGGGCUCAACCCUGGGCCUGCAUUCGAUACGGGCAGACUAGAGUACGGCAGGGGAGACUGGAAUUCCUGGUGUAGCGGUGGAAUGCGCAGAUAUCAGGAGGAACACCGGUGGCGAAGGCGGGUCUCUGGGCCGUUACUGACGCUGAGGAGCGAAAGCGUGGGGAGCGAACAGG
rnacentral:rRNA from 1 species